AGCAUUAUACCGUGAAACUGCGAAUGGCUCAUUAAAUCAGUUAUCGUUUAUUUGAUAGUACCUUACUACUUGGAUAACCGUGGUAAUUCUAGAGCUAAUACAUGCUGAAAACCCCGACUUCGGAAGGGGUGUAUUUAUUAGAUAAAAAACCAAUGCCCUUCGGGGCUCCUUGGUGAUUCAUAAUAACUUCUCAGAUCGCAUGGCCUUGCGCCGGCGACGGUUCAUUCAAAUUUCUGCCCUAUCAACUUUCGAUGGUAAGGUAUUGGCUUACCAUGGUUUCAACGGGUAACGGGGAAUUAGGGUUCGAUUCCGGAGAGGGAGCCUGAGAAACGGCUACCACAUCCAAGGAAGGCAGCAGGCGCGCAAAUUACCCAAUCCCGACACGGGGAGGUAGUGACAAUAAAUACUGAUACAGGGCUCUUUUGGGUCUUGUAAUUGGAAUGAGUACAAUUUAAACCUCUUAACGAGGAACAAUUGGAGGGCAAGUCUGGUGCCAGCAGCCGCGGUAAUUCCAGCUCCAAUAGCGUAUAUUAAAGUUGUUGCAGUUAAAAAGCUCGUAGUUGAAACUUUGGCCUGGCUGGCAGGUCCGCCUCACCGCGUGCACUUGUCCGGCCGGGCCUUUUCUUCUGGAGAACCGCAUGCCCUUCACUGGGUGUGUUGGGGACCAGGACUUUUACUUUGAAAAAAUUAGAGUGUUCAAAGCAGGCCUUUGCUCGGAUACGUUAGCAUGGAAUAAUAGAAUAGGACGUGCGGUCCUAUUUUGUUGGUUUCUAGGACCGCCGUAAUGAUUAAUAGGGACAGUCGGGGGCAUCAGUAUUCAAUUGUCAGAGGUGAAAUUCUUGGAUUUAUUGAAGACUAACUACUGCGAAAGCAUUUGCCAAGGAUGUUUUCAUUAAUCAGUGAACGAAAGUUAGGGGAUCGAAGACGAUCAGAUACCGUCGUAGUCUUAACCAUAAACUAUGCCGACUAGGGAUCGGGCGGUGUUAUUAUUUUGACUCGCUCGGCACCUUACGAGAAAUCAAAGUGUU
rnacentral:rRNA from 1 species